CGCUUCACUUUCAAAACUAUGGCUGGUUUUAGAGUCACGCUGACCGUCAGCGCUGACAGCCGAAAUGUAUGAAGCGUCGGCGCCGAGCGAUCAGCGUCACUCAGGAACUUUCCCUUCAAUUACAUACAUAUUGAUCUGUCAGCGCCGAAGAUCAGCGAGCAGUCAGCGCGAUACUAAAACCAGCCUAUAGGUAUUAGGGCAAGUGUGGUAUCAUUUUUGGAUAAUUCAAGGAUGGCAGAUUCAUUUCGUUCAUUUCAUUGAGCACAAUAAAAUUCACAAAAAGUAAAAAGUAUUUUUUUAAACCACUGGUGAUAAUCUAAUAAAAUAAAGAUAAUUAUGUCCUGAAAGCUACAUUUAUCAGGAUUAUAAUAUAGGUAUAUAAACAAAAUAAAACAUUUUCAUAACCGACUAAGUGACAUUAUAAGACUUUCGUCAUCAGAACUCUCAGCCCAUUUUAACGCGAAAAUUCAAACUGUUAUUUCUGGGAAUGCCGGGUGGCUCAUGCAAAAUGAUUUCAGAAUUUAGUGGAGUUUUAAAUCCGCCCCUGCUUCGCACAGGCACAAUCAUCAUUACCAUCAUUUCAGCCACAGGACGUCCACUGCUGAACAUAGGCCUCCCCCAAUGACUUCCACAUCGCACGGUUGGUAGCAGUCUGCAUCUGCGCCUUCCUGCUUCCUUUAUCAGGUCGUCGGUCCACCUUGUGGGUGGACGUCUCACGCUGCGUUUAUAACCUGCCGCAGCGUAUGGAUGUGGUCUAUGAUACUAUAACCUUUCCGGAAACUGGCUUGUUCGGAAGGCUGGAAAUCAUGGCUCAAAAGUGAGAUGGGUCUGUAAUUCUUCGGUAAAAGUGUUAUCUCCUUUCUUGAAGCAGAGCACCACCACGCUUCUGUUCCAUGCCUCUGGCGUUAUUCCCUCGAGUAAGACGGAGUUGAAGAGCCUCUGAAGGACCUUCAGUAUCGGUGUACCACCCGCGUUCAGAAGCUCCGAGGUUAUUCCGUCAUCAUGUCACCGGCUUUAGUUCGUUUACGGAGCUUCUCAUUUCUGAUUCGAUCUCGUAAAGAAACACUAAGCACAGCCCUCUUCAUAGCACGUUGUGCGACUUUAAGAGGCCAUGUUUCCGAGCCGUAUAUCAUCACUGGUAACACACACUGAUUGAAGACUUUCGUCUUUAAGCACUGAGGUAUUUUGGACGAAAAGAUGUUGUGUAGUUUCCCGGAAGCGGCCCAGCCGAGUAAGAUUCGUCGAUUUACCGCUUUCUCGAAAUUGAAUCUACCUAGCUGAAUCGUUUGUCCGAGGUAGACAUACUUGUCAACAAUCUCGAGAAUCGAGCUCCCAAGCGAAAACAGGUAGGGUGCAACAUGGUCAUAAGCUUCGUUUUGUCCAUGUUCAUCCGAAGGCCUACCUGUUGGGAGAUUCGAUUAAGGUCUUUGAGCAUUGUGCCGAGGUCUUCCAGCGACUCCGCCCUAGCACGUAAAACUGAUGGCCGAUGGGGCAGCAAGGUUCUGGAGUGGAAGCCACGUACCGGAAACCUUCCGAUAUUACAUGCCCUAAUCAGAACCGAAAGUAUUUUCUAAAAUCGGUUUUUCGGUAAUCAUUGCCGAUUUUCCGUGGUUUUCAGUUCAUACGGUGUUGGACAUCUAUAAAGUUCCGUGUGCAGUUUUUGGUCUGCCAUAGGACGCAUCUCCGGGUUGUGAAUAGGGAAACGCCCUCCAGUCACCGGGGGGCCUACUAGUUUACCAGCGCAGACAGAAACCCAAGCGCGGCAGAUCUCUCGGUGAGCCUGUCGGGCAACCUGUAACCCACAAUUUGAGUGAACAGGGGGCCGUCGAGGCAUUUGCCCGAACUACGAUGCAGGGGACAUCUUUAAAAACCUUCACAGGUGGGGGCUGGCGGGCUUUGUGGCAGGUUUGGCGGUCAUAGCUAGUUUUAACAUACUUGUAAUAAAUUGUAAUCUAUUCUACAUGGGGUUCUUUAAUAUAUAUAUACGCAUAAUUAAAAACAUUGCAUGUUCCAUAAAUCUCUUUCACAAAAGGUCGAUGUGCGAUUUUCCAUGCCAGGCACUGUAUCCAUCAUCCAGCAGUUUCCCAUUUGGAAAAAACAAUUUCAAAUGUAGGAUGUAGGUAUUUUUUAUAAAUAACAACUACUUGAAUAACUGUAUCGAUAUCUCUCUUUAAGGACCUAUGUGAGUUGAAUCACGGACUGUACUAAGGUACAUUAUCUGCAUUCAUUACAAACGAACGAUGGAAAUGAUGGAAUCUAUAUUUUGUGUAAAUUGUGGCUCAGCUAGUGGCUCUAUGGUGCUGGAAGAUGAACAGAUUCUUCACUGCAUUCAACAAUGGAGGGCUCCACUUUCGGUGCAGCCUCAUGAUUUAAUAUGUACGACUUGUUGGACUGAAGCCAGUCAAGCAACUACAAACUCGAGCUCAGGUGGGAGGAACUGUGCUCUUUGUAAAGUGGUUUUGCCACCUCGUAAACGAUCACAUCAAUUAAUUGCAUUGAGAACAGAUACUGAACAUCAUGUGAAAAUCAGAAACAUUAUCUUGGAAAGACUUCUACCAUUGCAGGUUCGUGCAUCACAUCACAUUUGUCAUCCUUGUUGGCAAAGAGCUGACAGAUCUGCAAAACAUUAUUCAUUGCCAUCAUCAUCAAGGGAUACUGCAGCUUCAGGCGUACCAUUGAGAUGUAUUAACUGUAAUAUUGAUGUGACCCGAUUGAGACGACAUGUUUUAGUAGAAAAUAAUGCAAUCCUGUUACAAGUACAACAACAGAUUACACCAAGAGUGGCUACUUCAGCUGACUUCAUUUGUGAUGCAUGUCAUACAUUGAUAUCUGAAAGAUUAAGUGCUGCAACAGCCUCAGAAGAUACUACUCCCAUUGUGGGUCACCAAAACAUUUGCAUAAUAUGUGGUCGAUCAUUGUUUAAUGCUCGAAGUCACGAUUUGCAAGAAGAAGUCUAUCGCCACAUUUCACACGUUGUUCAAAAUUGGGUUCAACCUCGUCAGCUUCAACCGUCAGACCGCGUAUGUCAUAGAUGUUACCAGCGAGCAGAGGCCGCUUUGAAUGAAACAAGAGCUAAUAAUGUUCCACAACUUGAUAGAAUUAUACUACAAAAUUACUCAAGAGCUCCUUAUACACAUGCACGCUGCAUGUUUCCAACCUGUACCAGUACAUCUCAACAAGUCGUUCCACAUAUGUUACGAGUAAGGCUUUUUAGUGACCACAAAUACUAUAUUCCACGAGAUUGUCGCAUAUGCAGCUUCCAUUUAGAAAGACAGGAAUGGUUACAAUUGUUUGAAGAAACUUCAAAUCACUGUUUUACAGCUGCAUAUAUUGAAGAUUUUUGUGAAUUACUAAAAAGUGAUAAAAACACAAUUACUUUUAAUGAUAUUGAUGGGAUGGAUGAAAAUCUAUUUUAUUAUUGGUUGGGACAUACAAAACAGCAAUUCAGAGACUUAGAAGCAGAAUUGCCUGAAUUCCGAAACCGUGCUACAGCACUUGGUGCAUACUUAAUGAAAUUACGAACUGGAGAUUCAGACGAAAGAAUUUCCACAUUGUUGAAUAUGAGUAGAACGACUUUAACAAAGCUAUUAAAUAAAGCACGAGAUGUUAUGACAGAGCAUUUCGUUCCGCAACAUUUAGGACUUCAACAUAUAUCGAGAAACCAAAUUGCCGAAAAGAAUCUAUAUAUUCCCAAUGCCUUAUUCGGAAACCCAGGAAGUAAUAUUGAAGAUAGAAAGGCAAUUGUAAUAAUGGAUGGCACAUAUAUAUAUGUACAAAAGAGCUCCAAUUAUUCUUAUCAAAAAAAGACGUAUUCUUUGCACAAGUACCGGAACCUGGUCAAACCGUUCCUCAUUGUAUGCUGCGAUGGUUAUAUUGUCGACGUGCUAGGUCCGUUUCCUGCAACGAAAUCAGACGCUGACAUAUUAAAAGAUGAGGUCAGGGACCCUUCACAACCUCUACGACAGUAUUUUAAAGAAGGAGAUAUAUUUAUUCUUGACAGAGGAUUUCGAGACUGUAUUCCGAUUUUAGAAAACCUACAUUAUUCGGUGCAUUACCCUCUAUCACUAGAAUCGGGGGAAUACCAAAUGAAUACUGAAAAUGCCAAUGAGUCCCGUAAAGUUACUCUCUGUCGAUGGGUCGUAGAGGUUGUGAACGGGAGAUUCAAAAGAGACUUUAAAUUGCUACGGCAGGAUUAUUUUAACAAAGCGUCGAAACAUUUAAUGGCCGAUUUUAAAGUAGCAGCAGCUCUAAUUAACAGAUUCCAUCCACUUUUAGUAGACAGAGAUGACGCUAGAGAAAUCGUCUCAGUUAUUCAAGAAAAAAUAUUUACAAAUAAUACGUUGGCAGAAUUUGUGGAAACCAAUAAUUUAAAUCGAAAGAGGGCUAAUUUUGAAAGCAUAACCGUUCAAAUAAAUAACCUCAAUAAUUUUCCACAACUGGAAUAUAGCGAUUUAAUUUUGAUAUCGUUAGGCGUAUAUCAAAUUAAACAAGCGAGAUCUUACUAUGGGGAGCAUAUUCGCCAAGACGGAAACUAUAUUAUAGAAGUUUGUCGGGAGGUUGACCGACAGUUGGUCACUGAAUUACAUUUGCUUCAUUCUGAAAAUGUUUGGCUACUGAGGGGAAAAAUACACAGCCGCCACAUCA